rnacentral:misc_RNA from 1 species
AAGUCGUAACAAGGUUUCCGUAGGUGAACCUGCGGAAGGAUCAUUACUUGAUAUCUAAUGCGAGGACACACUCUGUACUCACAUUCGAUUCAUCAAACAACACCAAUCUGUGCUCUUAUUCUUUUCCACCCCGCACUUAUAAGCAAUUUCAUCAUUGCUUCAUUUCUUACUCGACUGACUGUAUUGAGUGUACAGAGUGACACAGUGUAAUAACUGUACCACCUCUGGUACUCAUCUGUAUAUGACAGGAAGGUACAUCACUUCAUUGGGAUGCACCAUUCUGUUAUAUACUUGUUGAACUAAUAUCUUACACACUAUAGUGAUAUAGUGUUGGAUAUUCUGAACAACUCCUAACAAUGGAUAUCUCGGCUCUC